ensembl:lncRNA
CACAAAUACUUUUGGGCUGUUCUCAUGCCCUGGUGUACUCACUGCAUCGCCAAAGUGGAGGGGAGCAGCUCUGGGCAGUGGGGCUGUGAACAAGGCUGCUCAGGAUCUCCUUCUGGUUUUUGGAAGCCUUAGGGUGAAGAGUCAAUGCAAUUUGAGAUUUAGCAUCAAGGGAACAGAGGCUUCUGGGAAAUACUUGUUGUUUCCUGGUCUGCUUGGAGAGCACACAGGGCACGGGGGUUUAAUCUGGACCUAAGUGGUGCUGCUCCAGCCACUGAUGAGCCACAUGUUCGUUUUCCAUCCCCGUUGCAUUGAGGAGGUGUUACUGUUGAAGAUGGCCCAGAAAUGACAUGCACACAGCCAUGGGAGGAUGCCAUGAGCACCUGUCCAACCCCAAGGCUUUUGUGGUGCACUUGCAAGAGAAGUCUACGUCAGAAGGAAUGCAGUGAAAUACUCAUUCCUUCUGUUGAGGAAAUUCAGAGAAAGGCAGGAAGAAGGGACCAAAUGUGUGAUCAAGACAGGAAGAUGUGCCCCUCUCAUUGCAUCUGUAUUUCCGUGACCCAGGG